UCCCCGAGGGUCUAGUGGUUAGCACUUGGUGCUUUUACCACUGAGGCCCAGGUUCAAUCCCUGGUCUGGGAA
rnacentral:tRNA from 1 species